CACUCUUGAGUUGCAGGUCGAUGAUAGCCCCGAGCCGAGGCUCUUCUUCCUCAAAGCCCCCUCCCCUAUCUCCAAUGCCCCUCUCUUUCUUCUCAUCCAAGUAAACUCCAACUGGUCCUUCUCUCCUCUCUCUCUGAACUGCGCCCGACCCUUUUGGCCCCUCUCCCACUUCGCUUCAUUUGUAAGCUCUCGUCAGCAUCCCACUACCGGAAGCUUCCAAGAUAUGGGUCCUGAAACAUCAACACCUUCAACAUCUGAAAUAUCUGCACCUCCAUCUGCUCAAAAGACUAGCUCCACUGCUUUGGCCCCUGGUUUUAGAUUCCACCCAACAGACGAAGAGUUGGUUAUAUAUUAUCUUAAACGCAAAAUGUGUGGCAAAUCAUUCCGCUUUGAUGUGAUAGCCGACGUGGAUAUCUACAAAACGGAGCCUUGGGACCUUGCAGGCAAGUCAAAGUUAAAGACUAGGGACCAAGAAUGGUACUUCUUUAGUGCAUUGGACAGGAAGUAUGCAAAUGGGGCUAGAAUGAACCGGGCCACCAGCUCUGGUUAUUGGAAGGCAACUGGAAAUGAUCGCAAUGUUCAACAUGAAUCACGUGUUGUUGGGCUGAAAAAGACACUUGUUUUUCAUAGUGGGCGAGCUCCUGAAGGGAAGAGAACAAAUUGGGUCAUGCAUGAGUACAGGCUAGUUGAAGAGGAGUUGGAAAAAUGUGGUAAUUACAAGGACGCAUAUGUGCUUUGUAGAAUAUUUCAUAAGGCCAAUUUAGGGCCACCAACUGGUCAUCGUUAUGCCCCUUUUGUUGAGGAGGAAUGGGAUGGCAAAGAUAAUGUGGUUCCGAGUGUAGAAACCAGAGAAGAAGCAGUACCUCAGCGAAAUGGCAUGCUUCAGGAAAUGCCGUCUCAUGUGCCUCCCGUUUGCCGUAAUGAACUUCCAACUAAGACCCAGUGCCUUCUGGCUGUUUGCAAGAGUGAAACAAUGGGCGAGACUAUAGAUGAUCCAUCUGCAAUAUGUCCAACUAACAGGGAAACUGCACCGCUUCUUCAUUACAAACGAAGGAGAGAUAUUGAUUUAAACUCAAUUGAUUCAACGGGUUCAGAAAAUUCACCCAAGAAAACCGAAGGUCCUUCUUCAUCUACCAUUACGACAGCAAGGUCGGCUAUGAAUUUGACAUGUGGAUUAUCAACAUUGGUGGAGUAUUCUUUGAUGGAAUCACUUGAAAUAAAAGAAAAACCCCAUCUUCCUCUCUCGACUUUUGCCCCCGCCAAUCUCAAUACAACAGCGCCUCCCGAAUGCUUAGACUUCAUCCACAGUUUACGAGAGGAGAUUUAUAAGGUGUCCAUUGAGAGGGAAACAUUAAGGCUUGAAAUGUUGAGCAUCCGGUCGAUGGCUAAUGUUCUUCAAUCCAAAGUCGAGCAUCUGACAAAGGAGAAUGAGGAGCUGAAGCGGAAGGUUCAAGAUGCUUAGUUGCUGCUCGAUGGCUUUGAUGUUGUAGCUUUGCCUUUUCACCUCUUCCUUCUUCCUGGUUGUUGUACUGUUGUCUAUCGGUGGCCUUCAGAAGUCCACUUGUUCGAUGUACCUUCCUGUUAAAGCAACUGUGCCCAGAAGUUUCAUCGGGUUCUAGACGUACGAGCUGACUUGAGUUUGCUUGCGAUCCUGAAGAGUGAUGUGACGGAGAAAAUCGAUGCUGCUCGGCAUUGGCACUGAGAGCUUGGUGUGAAGUGGAUCUCAUGCUAUGACGGGCUCGUGGCACGGUGAGUCCUCUUUGUGCAUCUUAGGAGAUCCGAUCUGAACCAAUGUGUUCUUCGUCCAAGAACAACAAAAUCACGCCUCUUAAGGGAUAUCAAAUUGGAGGAAGUAGCUUCCUACUGGUGUUCCAAUUUCUGGUCAAUGCCCUUCCAUCUGCUUGUUUCAUGUGUUUUCGAGUAGCGGUAAGCAUCAGUCCAACCCAACCCAGCCAAUACUGGUGCAUUUUUUCAACAGGAUUGGGUUGGUCCUUGAUUCUGAACCUCUAGAUUUUGCACUAUGCGGGUUGAUCAUUGAUACUGGGAGUUUGAAGUUUAU